UACAGAGGGGGCAAGCGUUGUUCGGAAUUACUGGGCGUAAAGGGCGCGUAGGCGGCCUGUUAAGUCGAACGUGAAAUCCCCGGGCUCAACCCGGGAACUGCGUCCGAUACUGGCAGGCUUGAAUCCGGGAGAGGGAUGCGGAAUUCCAGGUGUAGCGGUGAAAUGCGUAGAUAUCGAGAGGAACACCUGCGGCGAAGGCGGGUAGCUGGGCCGACACUGACGCUGAUGCGCGAAAGCCAGGGGAGCGAACGGG
rnacentral:rRNA from 1 species